rnacentral:rRNA from 1 species
UGAGGAAUAUUGGUCAAUGGAGGAAACUCUGAACCAGCCAAGUCGCGUGAAGGAAGAAUGUCCUAAGGAUUGUAAACUUCUUUAGCGAGCGAGUAAGGACUUCCACGUGAUGGGAGUUUGAAAGUAGCUCGAGAAUAAGUAUCGGCUAACUCCGUGCCAGCAGCCGCGGUAAUACGGAGGAUACGAGCGUUAUCCGGAUUUAUUGGGUUUAAAGGGUGCGUAGGUUGCAAGGGAAGUCAGGGGUGAAAAGCUAUAGCUCAACUAUGGUCUUGCCUUUGAAACUCUCUAGCUAGAGUGUACUGGAGGUACGUGGAACGUGUGGUGUAGCGGUGAAAUGCAUAGAUAUCACACAGAACUCCGAUUGCGCAGGCAGCGUACUACAUUACAACUGACACUGAAGCACGAAAGCGUGGGUAUCAAACAGG